rnacentral:tRNA from 1 species
CAGAUAGUAGUUUAACGAAAAACGCCAAGAUGCAAGCUUGAAAUUGUAUGAGUAAUAUCUAGCUGU